rnacentral:ribozyme from 1 species
ACGUGAACUUGGUCUGUGAAUGGGGUAGGAUCCGACGCCCCCUGAAGGCUACAUAGGCUCUACUACCCAACUCCUAUUCUGGUAUGUCCAAGCCAUACAGACCGUGUACAUGUAGCCCCGUUUAUCCGAGCUUGGGUAAACGGGUCCAAUCCCAACCCCUUUGGAGGAUAGGGUUGCAUGGCUAAGGCAGAAGGG